UUCUUAAACAAAUUUGAAAAAUAAAAAUAAUUUAACAAAGAACUUUGCGGCAUUCUACGAUAAAAUGAGUCAAUAUUUGAAUGUUUUGGAAUUGCAGUUGGCUUAUUUGCAUUAAGUGCAUCAUCAGUGUCCAUAUACGGAGUGUCAUAAUAUGAUUUCUAAACUUUUGAGAAACCAGCAAAGGAAGAUUUUACUUUGAUUUUGGAAAGUAAAUAAAGGAAACAUUAUGUAAA